GACGAACGCUGGCGGCGUGCUUAACACAUGCAAGUCGAACGGAAAGGCCCUGCUUUUGUGGGGUGCUCGAGUGGCGAACGGGUGAGUAACACGUGAGUAACCUGCCCUUGACUUUGGGAUAACUUCAGGAAACUGGGGCUAAUACCGGAUAGGAGCUCCUGCUGCAUGGUGGGGGUUGGAAAGUUUCGGCGGUUGGGGAUGGACUCGCGGCUUAUCAGCUUGUUGGUGGGGUAGUGGCUUACCAAGGCUUUGACGGGUAGCCGGCCUGGGAGGGUGACCGGCCACAGUGGGACUGAGGUACGGACCAGGCUGCUACGGGAGGCAGCAGGGGGGAGUAUUGCACAAUGGGCGGAAGCGUGAUGAAGCAACGCCGCGUGCGGGAUGACGGCCUGCGGGUUGUAAACCGCUUUCGCCUGUGACGAAGCGUGAGUGACGGUAAUGGGUAAAUAAGCACCGGCUAACUACGUG
rnacentral:rRNA from 1 species